rnacentral:rRNA from 1 species
UACGAAGGGGGCGAGCGUUAUUCGGAUUUACUGGGCGUAAAGGGCGCGUAGGCGGCGGGUCAAGUCGAGUGUGAAAGCCCCGGGCUCAACCUGGGAAUUGCGCUCGAGACUGGUCUGCUUGAGUUCGGGAGAGGAGAGUGGAAUUCCCAGUGUAGAGGUGAAAUUCGUAGAUAUUGGGAAGAACACCGGUGGCGAAGGCGGCUCUCUGGACCGAGACUGACGCUGAGGCGCGAAAGCGUGGGGAGCAAACAGG